GAUGAACGCUAGCUACAGGCUUAACACAUGCAAGUCGAGGGACCGGCGCCCGGGUGAGUAACACGUAUCCAACCUGCCCUUUACUCGGGGAUAGCCUUUCGAAAGAAAGAUUAAUACCCGAUGUAAAGGAUGGGGAUGCGUUCCAUUAGGUUGUUGGUGAGGUAACGGCUAACCAAGCCUUCGAUGGAUAGGGGUUCUGAGAGUAAGGUCCCCCACAUUGGAACUGAGACACGGUCCAAACGCCUACGGGAUGCAGCAGUGAGGAAGAGUGGGCAAUGGGCGUUAGCCUGAACCAGCCAAGUAGCGUGAAGGAUGAAGGCUUAUGGGUCGUAAACUUCUUGUAUAUAAGAAUAUGUAUUAUAUGAAUAAGGAUCGGCUAACUCCGUGCCAGCCGCCGCGGUAAUUC
rnacentral:rRNA from 1 species